rnacentral:sRNA from 1 species
UACUCAUCAAAGACUUCAUCCACUCUUGUUAUAGUUUCAAGGUAUUUCAUAAGGUAAGGACAUAAUACCCAAUCAUCAUACUCGUUAGGAAACACCUUGAAACUGUAACAACAGUGGAUGUAGUCUCGGAUGCGAACAUA